rnacentral:rRNA from 1 species
UACAGAGGGUGCAAGCGUUGUUCGGAAUUACUGGGCGUAAAGCGCGUGUAGGUGGCGACGUAAGUCGGAUGUGAAAUCCCUCGGCUUAACCGAGGAAGUGCAUUCGAUACUGUGUUGCUUGAGUACUGGAGGGGUUGGCGGAAUUCCCGGUGUAGAGGUGAAAUUCGUAGAUAUCGGGAGGAACACCUGUGGCGAAGGCGGCCAACUGGACAGUCACUGACACUGAGACGCGAAAGCGUGGGUAGCAAACAGG